UGGGGAAUAUUACACAAUGGGCGCAAGCCUGAUGCAGCCAUGCCGCGUGUAUGAAGAAGGCCUUCGGGUUGUAAAGUACUUUCAGCGAGGAGGAAGGCGGUAAGGUUAAUAACCUUAUCGAUUGACGUUACUCGCAGAAGAAGCACCGGCUAACUCCGUGCCAGCAGCCGCGGUAAUACGGAGGGUGCAAGCGUUAAUCGGAAUUACUGGGCGUAAAGCGCACGCAGGCGGUCUGUCAAGUCGGAUGUGAAAUCCCCGGGCUCAACCUGGGAACUGCAUUCGAAACUGGCAGGCUAGAGUCUUGUAGAGGGGGGUAGAAUUCCAGGUGUAGCGGUGAAAUGCGUAGAGAUCUGGAGGAAUACCGGUGGCGAAGGCGGCCCCCUGGACAAAGACUGACGCUCAGGUGCGAAAGCGUGGGGAGCAAACA
rnacentral:rRNA from 1 species